CUGACACAGGGAGGUAGUGACAAAAAAUAACUUUAUCGGGCCGUUUUCGGUCUGACUUUAGGAAUGAGAACAAUUUAAAUCCCUUAUCGAGGAUCAAUUGGAGGGCAAGUCUGGUGCCAGCAGCCGCGGUAAUUCCAGCUCCAAUAGCGUAUAUUAAUGUUGUUGCAGUUAAAAAGCUCGUAGUUGGAUUUCUGGUCGGAACGCCGGUCCGGCUCCGCAAGGGGUCGUGUAUUGGUUUCUCCUGCCAUCCUCAGGGGGAGUUGCGCUGGCAUUCAUUUGUCGGCGUAGCGACGCCUGUCGUUUACUGUGAACAAAUUAGAGUGUUCAAAGCAAGGUGUACUUGAAUACAUUAG
rnacentral:rRNA from 1 species